rnacentral:lncRNA from 1 species
CACAAAUAACGUAAUACAAGCGCUUCCUUUGCCUCGAUCCCUGUGGGAAGAAGAAAACAUUUGGGGUGAGCUAGAAGCUCAGCGAGUGAACAGUAAAAUCAGUAAUCAAAUAAGCUUUACAAUAGUGCAUUUAAAUGAUAUCAAGAAUUAGUGAUCAAAUGUGCGUAUAUUGCUCUUUGGAGCCAGUGAAAUCCUUGUACUUAAAUAUCCAAUGCUCCCUUAGAUUAAGUAACAGAUAAACAGAAUUAAGGAGCCAUCGUGCUCUGAAGAAUGAGUAAACAGUAGUGGAGACAUUGGUUCUAAGCACAAGAUUUUCCCAAGAACUCAUCGGAGCCAGAAUGUCAUGGCACACACACAAACACAAUGAUAUGCAAUCGUGUAAUCAAUGCAAGAAUUAUUUCAAAAGUAACUUUUGGGAAGUAGUUGAGGGAUCACUCACAAACCACGCCUGACGUACCUUAUCCAGUAUACAACAUUGCCUUGCUCAAGUCGAAACCCUACAUUACAAAUAUCAAGUCAAGCAAAGGAAUUCUAAUAUUAUCAAGCUUCUAUCACCUUUUGGCACUUUAAUCACAAGUAUAGCUACACUUAUCUGAUUGAAACGAAUCUUAUGGCAUUACGAAGCUAAAACAUAUACCAGCAUUUCUUAUGAAGACCUCCAAAGCCUAAUCAUACAUAUUCAGGGUCAAAUAUCGAAAUCUCGAAGAGGACAGAAAACUGUCCGCAAAACAUAGUCUAUGAAUAGUCAAGGGUAUUUUGGUCAAUUCACAAGCUACAGUACUCCAAUCAAUCUGAAAUUUUGCAGGUAGGUAGUAACUCGAACUUCUACAACUUCCAUGUUUUGAGCAAAAGUUGGUUCGGUCUAAAACAUAGAGAAAUUGGCAGUCCAUGUUGAGUCCAAAACCAAGGUAAGACUAAAAGUACACUUCUAAACCAACCUUUGCAAUUAACCAUUACUAGCAGCAAUUAAAACUAGAAAUUCUACCCUAACACUAGAAUAAAUUCCACUAACCAUAUACAUGCUAGAAUCAAAGAUGAAAUCACUCAGAUCAAGUCUAGAAAUAUCGCUAAUAUGGAACUUAUCCUCCCAACUUCCGAAUCACAAGAAUUUUCAUAAGAUUAAUCAAGAUCAACUUAAAUUCAAAACAAUCAAAUACUCUCAAAGAGUGGACAGCAUUUCCCCUUAAUUUUCUUAUUUUCCAUCCGACAAAACAUUACCAAUAACAUCUCAAUUCAACCACAAUUGCACAUACGGUUCGUAAACAAUAAAACACAUCCAAUUAGGGCCACAAUACCCUUCAAUCAAAGCCAAUUAAAAGUUUGAGAGCCAACCAUAAGAAAACCCCCAAAUUAAACCCUAAAACCGGAAUUUCUGCACAAAUAAGAAAUUUUUCGCAAACAAUCAUAACGCACAAAAGCUCCAUUUAACACCAUUUAGAGCUAUCAAUUCAAGACCAACCCAUGAUUAUAAUAUAAAAUUAGAAAAUCCACCAAUAAAUCAGAAAUUCACCAUAAACUCCUUCUACCCAUGAAAUCUUCCACAAAACAACAUAUUUUACCACUACAAAGCACUAAUAUGCCAUUAUUAAAACAAAAGGGAACUUUCUUAUCCAACUUACCUCAAAUUCAAGAAAACUAACACCUUAGAGCUUCCCUUCCAAAAUCACUUCGUCAAAAACUUUAAACCUUCUUAGUACACCCUUGUACGGAGUAGUUUCCAAAACCAUCAGUGAAAACUCAAGAUUUUGGCAAAGAUUGAAACUAGGAAAAUUGAGAGCUUUUCUCUCUAUGAUGCACGGACAAGCCAAGUGAAGAAAUGGAAGAUAUUUUGGCCAAAAGCUGGAUAAGAAUGAAGGAAACAGCCGGUCAAAGUUGAUGACCGACUAUGACACGUCACAAUCCGACCGGAUUCUUGGCCGGAUUCAAGACAGUGGCAAAAUUCAUUUUUUUUUCAAAACUCCAAGGCAAUCCGGCCAGGUAUCCGGCCGGAUUCACCAAAAACAAAGCGAACCAGAAUUUUUUUUUCUUUUCUUCUUCCGGGCAUCACAUAGAAGCUAUAAAACAAUCAAAUAGAGACUCAUGGUAGGGGUAGAGGACGAGGACGAGGACAAGGAACCGAAAGGGUAACCAAUGAAAAUGCGAAUAUACAAGCCGAAACCUAAGUAGCCACAGCCAUACAGCGAAUAGCUGAUUUAUUAGAACGAAUGGUCAACCAACAGGGUCAAGGCCAAGUACAGCAUCCUGAAAAUCAUGAGGGAGAUGACCGUGCCUUAGAAUGGUUCCAGAAAUUUCUACCGCCAAAAUUUUUGGGUAGACCUAGCCCGGAUAUAGCGGAGAGUUGGUUGGAGCGAAUGUUAGACAUUUUUGCUGCGUUAGGAUUCCCGGAGGAACGGCAGAUAGCUUUCGCUAUUUUUCUAUUUGAGGGAGCGGCUCGUGCCUGGUGGAAUGUAAUUCGAGCCAAGUGGGAUAGAGAAUAAAUCCCAUAGACAUGGGUUAAUUUCACUCGUUAGUUUAAUGAGAAGUAUUUAUCGCUGCUUGUUCAGGAAAGGCGAGAGGAUGAGUUUAUAUGACUACGUCAAGGGACUAUGAGUGUGGUGGAGUACAAGACACUGUGAUGCCCCCACUUCUCCCUAAGGCGAACCAAAGGGUAUCCGCGCAACGCCUACCCAGCUCUCGCCAGAACUCAAGACCAAACCCGUUCAAGCUUAAUACAAUAUUAUCUAUCGCAACAAGGCAAAGUAAGAAAGAUUGCUCCCAUAAGUAACAUUAAAAUUCACACCACAAGUUCCAAAAUAUAACAAUCAUUCAACUUUUACGUUUGAUCCCAAAAGACAUCUCAAUCCCCAAAGUACAAAAUAGCCAAGAAAUCUAGUCAAUUACAUUUGGAACCUAAUACAAAAGUACUUCAAAAGGGGUUCCAUCAAGUUCCACAUCCUCCAUCCCUGUUAAGGAAAACAAAUCUACGGGGUGAGCAGAACGCUCGUGAGGCCAAGAACAAACAUGCAAGCACAUAGUUCAAGUAGUAAGCCCAAAUAACAGGUCAAAUGAUACAGUGCGCGUAAUUAACAAUUCCAAUGAAAUGUAAAACAGAAACAAUUCAAGGAUAUGAUAGCUCUCAGGAGCUAAGUUCCACUUGCUUGCCAAUCUCAUGAGUAUAUCUUCCCGCAAUGACUCUCCAUCAUCCGGGUCGAUAUUUCAAAUCCGUAGAUCUCCACUUACUUCCGUCCGUCCACCAUACUCUGCACCGGGCCCAAACGGCAUUUAUAAGACGAUACUUCACGAGUAUGCCAAGCGAGAUCUCUCGAUAGAUCAAGCUUAUCAUGUAAUUAUCACGGUUCACCGAGGUUCCCGACCAAGCCCAUGCCGGCUCGAGUUCCAAGGUCGGCCUAUGAGUUUGGGCGUCCCCCAUGUACAUUUGAGUGUCGAGGAGGUACACUCCAAUGACGUAUGCAGCCAUAGCAUACUAUUUCAUGUAAUUCAAGCAUUUGAACUUUCAAGCAUUUGACAUAUUAAAACAUUUCAAGCAUAAGUUGUGGCGACCCCACUUCCCCCUAAGGCGAACCAGAGGGUUGGCGGGCCGUCUGCCCAGCUCUCGCCAGGACUCACACAAGCAACUAGCAAAAGUCCUUCCGAAGUAUAACCUAAUCUAUUACAACAUCGUUUCCCUCCAAAUAGGCCGGUUUCUAGAAUCACAUUAACUUCAGAGAUAACAGUGCCUUAAGAUAGCCAACGUCGAUUCUUAAAAUACCUUCCCGAUUACAACCCUAGAAACAAAACAUAUAAUUCAAAUACAUCCUUAUAAGCCAAGUAACAAAUUUCAUACAAGCCACAUACAAAUUCAAGGGUUACACUUUUCCAGCUUCAAGUGGUAACCCGAAACAAAAGCUACAUUGUUUAAUUCAAACUACAUGCUUAAAGUACAAGUAGAUCUCAAGUCUUCCUCAGUUGUCAGAACCUGUAAAAGAAAACCACAACGUGGGAUGAGCUACACAGCCCAGUGAGGUUCCAAGACGCUCUAACAGUUCAAAAUAGGUCAAGUAAGUUGUGCAUAUCAUAUGCAUGAUUCUAGAUUACACAAUGGCAAGUUACCAUGAGGUGAUAAUCAUUACACGGGUAAUUGCUACUUUGAAAACACAUGUAGAACUAGUACUUUUGGAAUGAAUGGCCAUAUAAAUAUAUUUUCAUAAAUUUUCAGUCAAACAAAUAGCGGCUCGUCCGACUAGAAGGACAUUACAAGGAUUGCUUCAUCUCAGAGGUUAAUGCUCAUGAGGAGUCUUAUCCGAGAAUGCCAACUAGGAGAGCAAUAACAUUAUUAAUAGCAAAGCAAACACAAAAGGAUACGGUGUUCCAGUGAAACUUUGUCGGUCAUCUGCACCUUAUAACUCCCGGAUCUCCACGGUUGACUGGCCAUCACCUUAUCCCUCCAGUGGUAAUACUCGAGUAUACCGAAACGGUUGUCCAGGGUUCCAACCUACCCGACCGAGCCCAGUCCUGGCUCGAGUAGGUCAGUAACCGAGGCGGGGCCCAAGUUCAGCUUAUAGCUUACAACAUGCACAGGUAACAAAGUAAUUCGACAAAAGUAAAAUUCAUCAUUUGAAUAGGUCGAGGGAGGUAAAGUACACACUCGCCUAACAAUGAUGGACAACUUCAUAUGAGCAUAUAAUUUAUGAUAAUCAAGAAAUCAGUAACCACAUAUAUUAGAAAACGGUAAGUAAACACGGUAAACGGUAAAUGAUAAACGGUAAACGGUAAACGGUGGUAAUUACGGUUAAUUGGUAGACAUAUGUCAUUUUAAUAGGCCGCCAUUGGCCGUUUUGCACUUUUACCACGUAAGAGUCGAGGAGAUUCACCCGAACGACGCAACCACAUUUAGAUUCACAGAUUCAUUAGUUAUGGUAGUUGAUUCACGAGUCGAGGGAUUCACCCAACGACGCAACCACAUUUAGAUUCACAGAUUCAUUAGAAAAUAUUUCACACACUUCACCACUCGAACGGCUAGUGUGAUAAAGUACACACUGCGCACUUCGAUGGAUCGGAACUCAUUUUCCAAAUUGUCACAUAACGAGUUACAAGAGCACUUUAACCGAAUAAGCAUAAAAUAAGCAGGCUAAGCACAUAUUGAGUUUACAAGAUUAUUUGAUAGGGUUAAUCAUUUAACCAAUUCAUGUCGAUAUGCAAUGCAUAUAUAUAUUUCUUAAAUAGGCACGAGUAUGGUAAAUACUUAACGAUCAUCAAAUGAGCAUGUCCCAGACUUACUCAAUUACGUAUUCCUAUAUGGAACACUCACCUAGUCAAACAAGGGCAAUAGGUUCAAUUUGAAGUUCAAGCGUCCUCUGUCGGAUCCUCUUAAAGGUCCUCGCGUGCGCCUGAACGAAUAAUAAUAGUCUAUCAUUUACAAUUCCUACUAUUGUUGAAAAUCGUGUCAUAGUACAAAUUUAGGAAAAAUCUCGUGAACAAGUCUUAAUUAUCCUAAAUCUAAAUUCUCAAGCGGGGUUUCAAGGUACAAGAGAAAUUAAGUCUACAUCAUGAAAUUCAAGGAUAAGACAUUUGAAUAUUAUCGAAGGAAUAAGGAGUACUUGAAAAACUCCAUUUCCUUGGAAUACGGAAAAUUUCAGUUUUGAUGCAAUACUUUGAAAAAUCGUAGCUCACCUUUUACAUGUCAAAGAUUGGAAAACUUGCUACCGUUGGAAACUUCCUUCAAAAUGCUAAAAGUUCCUAGAAUACACUUUUUCAUGAUUCUAAAUGGAAGAUAGUCAAAAUGGGCUCAAAGUUACUGUUUUGGUUCAUAAGGCAGAUUUAAGUUAGUUUUUGGCCAACUUUGGAAAUUCGGAAAAAUUCACUUGUUUGGAAAUAGCUUUUGAAAUUUGCAACUCUAUUAGUGUUGUAAUUCAAGAGUAUAACAAAACAAACGGAAUGAGGAACGGAGUUUUGAGCACCAAGAUACGGUAGCUCAAAGUUACUAAAAUUUUCUUGUUAAACAAGGGUUUUCCAAAAUCAAGUCUCGAACUUUGGUAAUUUAUUUGACCCAUGAAUCGGUCUCGGAAUAACACCAUAAUUAGCAGUAUAAUACUACCACAUAAGUGUUGUUCCUCUACCAAAUUUCAUGGAAAAAUAACUUCGGAAAGGUGGUCAAUCAAACACCUAAAAUUUCGCAAAUACUAAGACAAAACUGCCUUGAACCUUUUGUUUUUCCAUUUCAGACAUUUGGUCAAAGAAAAUUCCUCCAAACCUGGUUCAUUUGUUUAGGCAAAACUUAAAGAACGUUCAUGGUGCAUUUGGUAAGUGUUUAGCAUCAAAAUAUUCAGUUAGCAAGUCUUUGCCAAACCUUGCAUCAAAUCUGUCUAAAAAAUCAGGGUUUUCAAGGACAGAGCAGGUUUCAUAUUUUGAUCACAGAUCACUCAAAUUAGCUUGGAAUUUGGCAUGGUUUAAGGUGUUGGAAAACACCUUCAUAGAGCUAUAAUUUCACAGAAGAAAUCAUUUUGAAAUUCGGCACACAACUAGCUCGAAUUCGAGUCACAAGUUACAGCCUCAGCAUUUUGUUCUUGUAAAGCAGAGAAACAGAACAGCCGACUUAAAAUAGUUGGUUUGGCUCACAUACAUGGAACCAGAAUGUGAAUUUUAUAUCGUCGGAAAGGUUGGAAUAUCUAGUUUCAAAUGCCACUGACGGCACUCGAUUUCGACAUCAGAGUUCAAAAUUAUGGCCGAAAUACGAAAGCUGGUCAGAGCAUUUCGAAAAUAGUUCCAGAUUUACUAGCUUUGUUAAAUCGAUUUAUUUGACCAACCAAACCUCGAUAUUUUUCAAUGAAACUUUGUACACCAUAUAUUCAACAUAUCAACAUGAUAUACAAGUCAUGAAACUCUCAAAAUUUUGCAAAAAGGGUUGCGAUUAAAACAGGGCAAAUCUGAACAUUUUUGAACGAUGCAUCUUUUGGAGUCUAGACUAGCUAGGUAUCAUUAAUCUACCUAUUUAAACACUAAACUAGCAUUAUAUCCAUCAUCAAUCCAAGGGUGGGAGUUCAUAGAGCUCACCAUCAAAAUUUUCCGACAUGAAAUAAAACAAAUAACAUGUAAUUUUGGCAAAUAAUUCCACCACAAUAAAUCUGUCAUCGGCUAAACAGAAUUUCCAGUAGCUAAUUGGUCAUAAAACCAACUUUUUACUCGGCUAAUACAUGAUAUUAAGUACUCAAAUCCGACAAGCAAAUACUUGACUAGCUAAUCAGAUCAUCCAAGUCAUUGUGGGAAUUCAUAGAGCCCACUCACCAAGUUUCCAUUAAAACUCAAAAGAGCCACCAUCGGCUAAGCUGGAAAAAUUGCAGCAAAUAGAUAGUUUGGUAUACGAACCUUUCCCUAACAAAAUUCAUUACUUUGUUCACCCAAACUCAGCAUGCAUACAGUGAUUAUUGUGUUAUGAGUAUAUUGAACUGCAAUACGAAAUUUUGCAGCCAAGGUUUGAAGAGAAAAACUGGAAAUUCUUUCUUUCCCUCUCUCGGCCAACUCAACAGAUUUCCAGCAAUUAGAUUGGUCAUAAAUCCAACUUUUCCUUUGGUUAAUUCAUGGUAUUAGGUGCUAAAAUAUAACAUGCAAAUACUUAACUAGCUAAUCAAUAUUUCUAGUUCAAAAUCGGAUUCAAACAACAGCCAUAACCAUCCAAGAAAACCAGAAAUUCUGUUUGCUACCUUCGGAUGAGCUUGCAUGCGGCCAGAUUGUUUUUCAUUCUUAUUUUUCUAGCAUAACCGAUCCAAGGGGCUGCAUGCAGAGCUUAAUUACCUUGAUCUUAAUUAGUUAAACGCAUCUAUCAGCUCACACUACUACAAAGAGACAGAAUUAAAUCUACAUUUCCCAAAUCAGUUCCUCGGCAGAAAUGUUUUGCCCAACAGAAUUUUCUACUGCUUUGGGUUUCAUCAUCUGAUUACACAAAUUAACACAUGCAAGGCCACGGCUGACUUAAAAUACCUCUGAUCAUCCACAAUUUUAUUCCAGAAAAUUUACCUCAAAGCAAGCUGAGCUCACACACGAAAAUCUGAAAAAUUUCUGCUCCCUCUCGGCUCUCACACACACUGGUUGGUCCUGUGCUCGGUUUGCAGCUGGAAAUGGUGUUGUGGUCAAGAUGGUUGCAACUGGGAAAUGUUGGUCUGGAAUGAACGAAGAUGGUGAUGAUCAGCAGCUUCGCCGACUUCCACUUGCCCUCCCCUCUCUAUCCUCUAGCUCGGACAGAACCAGAAAUGGUUGCAGCUCGCGGCUUCUUCCCUCGAUCGUGAAGUGCGACUCUCCCUCACUCUCUCCCUUUGUCGACAAUGGUAAGGCAGAGUGAAAUGUAGUUGUGGUUUGAAAUGUGAAGUGGAAAAGAAAUGAAGAGGGUGCCGUGGUUUAGGAGAUGGUUGAGUGUGGAAGUUGGUUUACGUAUAGAAUUGGUGAGGUUUUGAUUGGUCAAUUGGGGCGGUACUGAAUUGGUGAGGUUGUGAUUGGUC